CACUGCAAACAAAUGGCUCCCCCUUUCCUGAGUGACACCCUUCCUCCUCUCCCAACCCCCAACCAAUCCAAACAAACAUAGGAAGAAAAACAGGAUUGUUUUAAAGCCUGAGUUUCCGGAUGAACAUGAAUAGGAUUCAGGUGUGUCGGUGGUUCUGCGGCUUCUCAAGGAGAUCCACAAAAAUCUUUCCUGUGCAAGUUUCCAAGCUGAGCACCUAAAGGUAAACAAGCUUUUCCAAAGCCUCCUGCCUUGGCACCUAGCCAGUGCUCUCCGAAAUCCUCUCGCCCCAAAGUUCACAGAAAGUCCUGCACUGGGCAGUGUGUGGCUGGUCACUGCCUCCUGCUCACUGUCGUCCCAAAGCUAACAUGUUUAAGCCAAACUCAUCCUUCAAGCUCCCAGGGACACCAGCCCCUCCUCCAGGUCUGCUCACGCCUGUGAACCAUCUUGCCUCUUUUCUGUAAGGCUCUGAACUUUAGCCACACCCCCCUCAUGCAGAAGGGAGAAAUGAGCCAUGGAUCGGAAUCCACAGACCCUGCCAGGAGCUGUUGGGGGAGGGCCUCCCUAGGCUUGGGUUUGACCACCUGUUAUAUGAUGAGACGAGAGUCUGGACUGACAGCAAAAGUUCAUUCUAGCUCUCGCAAGAAAGCACCCUUUAGUUCAGUGGAGGUUUUCCGUUGUGGCUCAGAUCCUGGCCACAGGCCAGGGGCAGGCCACUCCUUUGAGGACUUGGACAAAUUCAACACCUUCCUAACUGGUCUCUGCCUCCUGAAAUCCUGUUUGAACACAGCUACCAGGUUCCUUUUCCUAGAACAUCACCAUGAUCAAAGGUAGCCAGGGGCCUCCCACUGCCUCCCAAUCUGAGCUCUCCGUCUGGAAGUCAAGGACUUCCUCAUGCAGGCACUGCUGCUCCCACCAGCACUCUCUGCUCCAGCCACGCCGGUCAGCCUUGUCUCCUGGACAUUGUUGCCUCUCAUCCUCUCUACCUGUUCUACCACCACUCAAGGCCUAGGUGGUCUCCCUCCUGCUGACUAUCCCAAUGUUGGCGACAAUGCCCAACUUCUCUCACAUUGAAUAUCUAUAUGAUGCUGCACUUCAGCGUAUGCCGCCUAGAAGUUUUCUCAGGUGAAGUGACUUUGUAGCAUUUAAGCCAUUAUCCAUCCUCCAACUAGACUGGAAAUCUUUUCAGGAAAAAGGCUUGCAAAUGCCUUGCACAGAAUGAUGAACAAAGACCUGUUGAUUAAAACAUUCAUUUUUUAAUAGAAAUUUAUUGAGACCUGUUGAUUAAAACAUUCAUUUUUUUUAAUAGACAUUUAUUGAGACCUACUAUGGACUAGGCUCUGAAAAUAUAUAAGAAACCCCAGCCCCUGGGAGACGUGUCUGGAGGUAGAAACACAUAAGCACCAGGUUUGGGGCACUAGUGCCAAGUGCUGCAGGAGAGCACUGCCCAGGGAACCCAAGGGUAGACUGCAAAGCCGGUCACUAAUCCAGAUCCUUGGAGGAAGUACAGGGAGGAAAGUCUUCUCAGAGAAAGGUGGCAUCUUGAGAGAUUCUCGGAAUCAGCCAUAAAAGUAAAGAGAUAAGAGGUGAUCAAGGCAGAGAAAACAGAAACUGAAGUCACGAAGGUGGGAGAGAACUCACGGGCCAGUUAGGGAAUCGAAAGCAGUUGGUGUCGUUGGAGCUCAGAGGGCAAGGAGCAGGUGGAAGAGUUGAGACCCGACAAAGAGGGGCCCUCUGGGCGCAGACCUCCUUAUCCUCAAUGGACAGAUCCAAGAAGAGCAUGGAGAGAGAGCCUUCUCCAUAUGGAGAAGCAAUGAAGCCCCGAAGAAGGAAGCCGUCACAUUCCUGGAGUCCGCACCAGGCAGCCUGACAUCUGGUCCACACUCCAGGAAAAGAGGCCACAUCCUCACAUGGAGAUCUAUUUUUGCAUCCGAACUGCUGAUGUUUCACUUGUACAACUUGCCUCACACACAGGAAGAGGAAGGGAACUAAUAUUUACCAAGUGCUGGUGGCAUGCCCCAUGCUGCUUCACACACACAGCCCCCAAGACUGCAUGUUCCCCAUGGUUUGGAUCUGCAAGGAGCUCUCAGCAAGCACUUCUCUGAAAAGCACGUGAAGGUGAAGACUCCCUCCCUCCCUCCAGCUGAUGGCAAGGUGAGAGCCGCUGCCCAGCACACCCACCUGGGCUUCUCAGGGCAGCUAAAGGCAAGGGGGCGGGGAACCAAGAUUCUGCAGACUGAUGGGUCUCUCUAUUGCACUGGGGCAGAUCAGUAAAGCAUGGGCGCCAGGAGGAUGAUUCCUGCUGUCUCUGCCUUGCAUGGAUUGUGGGGCUGGCACUGAGGCAGUGCUUGGUCCUAAUACCCUCUAGACUGUCCCUGACUCUUCCUAGAUGGCUGUGUUUAUCCUUUCAAUGUUUCCCUUUUAAGAUCAUACUAGAAGGCACUGCAGAUUUGAGAGUCAUACAAAAGCACAGAAGCCAUUUUUAAAUUAAAUCCUUCAUGAUUUAAAAGUCAA